ACGAUGAUCAAUAGCUGAUGGGGACUCAUCGGCGCAGCUAACGCAUUAAAGAUCCGCCUGAGUAGUAUGUUCGCAAGAAUAAAACUUAAAGGAAUUGACGGGGAUCCGCACAAGCGGUGGAGCAUGUGGUUUAAUUUGAAGAUACGCGUAGAACCUUACCCACUCUUGACAUCUUCUGCAAAGCUAUAGAGAUAUAGUGGAGGUUAACAGAGUGACAGAUGGUGCA
rnacentral:rRNA from 1 species